GAGCGACUCUUCGAGAGGAGCGGCGGACGGCUGAGUAACACGUUGGUAAUUGCCCCCCAUUCAGGGAUAAGCACGAGAAAUUGUGUCUAAUACCGGAUAGUCCCGCAAGGGUAAAGAUUUUUCGAUGGGGGAGAUGCCUACGGCCUAUCAGCUAGUUGGUAAGGUAACUGCUUACCAAGGCUAUGACGGGUAGCUGGUCUGAGAGGAUGACCAGCCAGAGGGAGACUGAGACACGGCUCCCACUCC
rnacentral:rRNA from 1 species